rnacentral:rRNA from 1 species
GAUGAACGCUGGCGGCGUGCCUAAUACAUGCAGGUCGAGCGAACAGAUGAGGAGCUUGCUCCUCUGACGUUAGCGGCGGACGGGUGAGUAACACGUGGAUAACCUACCUAUAAGACUGGGAUAACUUCGGGAAACCGGAGCUAAUACCGGAUAAUAUAUUGAACCGCAUGGUUCAAUAGUGAAAGACGGUUUUGCUGUCACUUAUAGAUGGAUCCGCGCCGCAUUAGCUAGUUGGUAAGGUAACGGCUUACCAAGGCAACGAUGCGUAGCCGACCUGAGAGGGUGAUCGGCCACACUGGAACUGAGAUACGGUCCAGACUCCUACGGGAGGCAGCAGUAGGGAAUCUUCCGCAAUGGGCGAAAGCCUGACGGAGCAACGCCGCGUGAGUGAUGAAGGUCUUCGGAUCGUAAAACUCUGUUAUUAGGGAAGAACAAAUGUGUAAGUAACUAUGCACGUCUUGACGGUACCUAAUCAGAAAGCCACGGCUAACUACGUG